UCCACAAACCGCCGCUGCAUCCUCCUCUUCUUCUUCAUGCUGUCUUUUUUUUUUCUACAGCUUCGUGUCUUUCUUUUUCUUCACCUUCUUCUUUCUUCUUCGUUUGUACAAUAAUUUCACCCUCUUCUUUUUAAUUUCCAUAAACAAUUAAUAGUUGUGAAAUUGGGACGAUUCCCAACUUUUACGGUUUCUGCCUCUCUUUUCGCCUCUGAGAUUCGUCCCUCCGGCAAGGCCCGCCGCAUCACCGCCGUCUCCGACGCACCACCGGCCUCUCCAUCCCAGGGAAUCGACGCUUGCUUCAAGACGUCUCCGGCGGCAGAUCCGUUUCCAAUUUUUGCAAGAAAGUUCUUUAUGCAAUACACAUUCGUUCAAAUUUUUUUUUUUUUUGAGAAAACACAUUCGCUCAAUUGCUUUGCUUAAGCAUAUCGACUGACAUUUUCUAUUCAAAAUAUCAUCUUCUCGACGAUUAAGAAGAAACUAAAUUGUUGUUAAAUUCACGUUUUUUCAAA